rnacentral:rRNA from 1 species
UACAGAGGGGGCAAGCGUUGUUCGGAAUUACUGGGCGUAAAGGGCGCGUAGGCGGCCUGUUAAGUCGAACGUGAAAUCCCCGGGCUCAACCCGGGAACUGCGUCCGAUACUGGCAGGCUUGAAUCCGGGAGAGGGAUGCGGAAUUCCUGGUGUAGCGGUGAAAUGCGCAGAUAUCUGGAGGAACACCGGUGGCGAAGGCGGCGUUCUGGACUGCUACUGACACUGAGGAACGAAAGCCAGGGGAGCAAACGGG